GAGAAGGUAAACAAAUUAUUCUUCUUUAAACAAAAUUAAUUUUUUUUUUUUCUAUUUUGAGCUUGGUGCAUGUGCCUCAACUUUUCAAUGCCAGUAUGCCACUGAUAAAGCAAGGCACAGGUGGAUCUGGUCGGGAUGUACAUCAUUUGCCUUUAAAAAUUAAAAAUUGGAAUUUUUAGCUUCCUAUAUACUAUUUAACUUAGCAAUUUCCUUAAUAAUUUAUAAUGGGCUGGGAUGGGUCAAAAUAAAAGGCUUUAGUCUAGGUUUUCAGCUCCAUAGUCCAUAUACGCAGUCUCCGUUGGCCAGGGAAUUUUCUUCCCAAAGCCAUCAUUGAUUCAACGAGAGAAAUCAUUGCCUGAGGAGGAUCGACAGGAAACAAUAUUAAUUUUUGGAGACGGAAGACAAGAUGCCAUUAGCAGUGUUCUUGUUGUGGCUGCAAAGUUUGGAUAAUGGACUCCACUAAACCAGCUAGCUGGGCUUGAAAUGCUAAAAUCUAAGGGCCUCGACAUGAUGCCCAACCAUAUUUGAGUUGCAGUAGAGAUUGAUGAAGCUGAGUUGAAUUUUCAAAAGUUAAAAACUUAUACAAAUGUGAACGAGGGAGAACUGUUGUGAUCGUAUGAGUAUAUUGGGUGAAGUUCGAUAAUGGUUUGAUGGAAUUUCUUGUUUUGCAGGAAAAAUGUCUUAGAGAAAUUUCACUACUUAUGAGCAACACCUGUCUAAUUUACGUCCCAAAUGUCUCUUAUAUCAGCUUAUCAACUCAGACAAAUAUGUGAUUUGCUUCGCCUGCACCGAAUCAUCAUUAAAUUCACAUCUUUGUCUGAGUUGAUAAGAUUAUCCAUGAGACAUGUAUACUCCGUGAAAGAUUUCUCAAGAUGGUGUCCAUUGCAUCGAUGGCUUCUAAACAAGGGAUUUCCAUCAAUCCAUUUCCGAACUUGAUAUCGAAUAAACUUGUGCGAUAACCGACAGUUUUCUUUUUCCAAAUUUGUAUAAAUGUUUGAUUUUUGAGAAGUUAACUCCAGCUUCAUCAAGCUCUCUUGCACUUUGAACGUGAAGAUAUGUUGAGUUCCUUAGUUUUUGUCAUCUCUUUUGAUGUAAACAUCUGCAAACGAUUACUUUAGUUGCAACAGGCUAUCCGUGCUCAUCACCACAUGAGAAAGCUCAGCUCACCAACUGACUCGUCAGUAUAAGGUACCUGUCAUUAUUGCUGACUUAUCAGCUUUUACAUCUUAAUUAGUUAUUCAUUUAAUUCUUGUUGAACUCAAAAGGGGGAAGAUAGUAACAGUUUAUUACAAUUAAAUGAAGAAGCUAAAAAGAAGAAUGACAAAGAAUUCCUCCAUUAUAGAAGUAUUGUGGAAAUGCAGACUAUAUUGCUUUCAGUGGCUGGUGAACCUUUCAAAACUGGCAAAUCUACUUUUAUCUUAUUGUUGAAUGCAAUACUCAAAAAUGUACAAGUGACUACUGAAACAGUAACAAAAGAAAUAAAAGAGGAGAGGUUUCCCUUGCUGGUAUAUAAUGGUAUUGAGAUUCUUUUAUUCUGUAA